GGAUAAAGCAAAGAAAAUAACAUUUAAUACUGAGUGAAUACAUCCUCUUCCCUUCUUAAGAAUUCUGUUUUCUUAUCUAUAAAAUAAGGGAUAAGUGGAGGGAUUAGCUCUUCUCUAAAGUGAUUUCUACUGGAGGAAAUUCAUGGUACUAAGGACUCUGUACCAAAAGCCCUUGCCUGGUACUUCAACGGUGCUCGGAAAAACAGGCAGCCUAUUUCUUCUCUUCCCUUUGUGGACUGAGACUUAAAAUUCUUUUGCUGGCCAAGACAGAAACUAAGGCUGGUUUUGGGGUUGCAGAAUGAAGAUAGAGAGAAAGGGGAGGAUAGCAGCCACAAUUUCAAGAGUGGCCAUUUAUAUAUUCCAAUCAAAGGGCCAGCCCUGAGAAACUGGGAAGGCAUGGAGGAGGAUGGUUAAUAACAAAACAGUUCAGGGAGAGAAUCUUGAACAAGCAUCUGACUGAGGAAAAGGCCUUAGUCAGGGAUGAAUUCUCACUGUGUUGCCUGGACUGGUCUCGAAAUCCUGACCUUAAGUAAUGCUUCUGCCUUGGCCUCCCAAAAUGCUGAAAUUACAGGUGUGAGCCAUCAUUCCCAGCCCAGCAGUCUUCAUCUUAAGAAGAAAGCUGCCCAGCAUCAGAGGGGUCAGGUUCCCUUCUAAACAGAAUAUGAUAAUGCUGGCCUGCCAAAACUACAGCUUCCCCUUUAGGGAAGAACUAUUGCAAUUCCAGAGUUCACAACUGCAUUCAGACCUGGCCUACAGAGCAUCUCACACUCACUGUGCUUGUGACAUUCCCUUGUACCAGGCCCUCCACAAAGAGCUGGGAUUUGAAUUCUUUGACGAAGCUCAGCAGAGACUCAAGGGAAAGGCCGUCCAUCAAAGCCUGGUACUUGUCAAUCAUAGACCAACGGGCAUAUUCCAGGAUUAAAAGCCGUACAU
rnacentral:antisense_RNA from 1 species